rnacentral:rRNA from 1 species
UGCGUAGGCGGGUUUCUAAGUCAGAGGUGAAAGCCUGGAGCUCAACUCCAGAACUGCCUUUGAUACUGGAAGUCUUGAGUAUGGCAGAGGUGAGUGGAACUGCGAGUGUAGAGGUGAAAUUCGUAGAUAUUCGCAAGAACACCAGUGGCGAAGGCGGCUCACUGGGCCAUUACUGACGCUGAGGCAAAGCUGGGGAGCAAACA